UCAGGGUCACCGCCUGGAAAGUGCUGU
rnacentral:piRNA from 1 species